UUUUGACAAAGAAAAAAAUAAACAUAAUUAGAGGGGCUUUACACUUGAGAAAGUCAGUACACUUCUAAUCAUGAUAUAAAUGUCAGAAAAGGUUAAUAAUAUACAUAUUUGACAAGCUAAUUGACCAUUAGCUAGAUGAGACCUUUUCUUAAGUAUGUCCCAUGUAUACAAUCCAACUUCUCCAUAUUUGUUUUGUAUGUAAACCUCUUUCCUAUGAAUCCUCAAAACUGUCACGACGAACAUCUCUAGGUUAUUUGCGUUGGGUUCAGAUAGGGAAACCACUUAGAGAGACAGAUAGAGAAAGUGAAAUAGAAGGGAAACAAUAUCACCUGAAGGGUUACAAAUGAGGAAUCAUAGGAGAGUUCCAACAUAGAUAUGGAUAAUUGCAACCCAUGAUUUUUCCUUUCAUUUUUAUGUGGUGUCGAAAUAAGCCACAAAUUUAGGUCCAUAUCCAGCUACAAUCUUUUAUUUGUGAUUCAGAUCCAGCCACGUGAAGGCCCUAAAUUUAAGCUAUCAAAAGAACAAAAAAAAAACAGUAAUAAAACACAAAAACCGAUAAUGCUCGUUACUCUGUUACCUUUGUUCAUCGUCGUGAGAUUUAAGGCCCGAAAUCGUUCCAUACACAUAGUCAAAGAACCUGAACAUGAAAAGGUCACAAUAAACAAAUUAAUUCGAGUUUUUUAUUUAAGAGAAACCAAAAAUCCAGCAAAAAUGAUGAUUUGACAACCUACAAAAAUUACACAUACUACACACCAUUUGAGAAUAGAACAACAAUUUACAAAAUAAAACCAUAAACUUAAAUACAUAUAGAUUUAGGGCUCGUUUGUGAGAAUAUACUGUAGAACUAAAUCUAUAGUCAAUGAAGAAGAAGAAGAAGAAGAAAGUAUCGAUUCAUUUGAUAGUGGCUGUGAUGGUGGCCAAUUUUGACCCGUUUAUCCCAAAUAAUUAUACUAAACUU
rnacentral:lncRNA from 1 species